rnacentral:rRNA from 1 species
UACGGAGGGUGCAAGCGUUAUCCGGAUUCACUGGGUUUAAAGGGUGCGUAGGCGGGCAUUUAAGUCAGUGGUGAAAUUCCUGAGCUUAACUUGGGAACUGCCAUUGAUACUAUUUGUCUUGAAUGUCGUGGAGGUUAGCGGAAUAUGUCAUGUAGCGGUGAAAUGCUUAGAUAUGACAUAGAACACCUAUUGCGAAGGCAGCUAACUACGCGAAUAUUGACGCUGAGGCACGAAAGCGUGGGGAUCAAACAGG